rnacentral:rRNA from 1 species
AUUGAACGCUGGCGGCAGGCCUAACACAUGCAAGUCGAACGAGCGGCGGACGGGUGAGUAAUGUAUGGGAAACUGCCCGAUGGAGGGGGAUAACUACUGGAAACGGUGGCUAAUACCGCAUACCAUCGGAUGUGCCCAUAUGGGAUUAGCUAGUGGGUGGGGUAAAGGCUCACCUAGGCGACGAUCCCUAGCUGGUCUGAGAGGAUGACCAGCCACACUGGGACUGAGACACGGCCCAGACUCCUACGGGAGGCAGCAGUGGGGAAUAUUGCACAAUGGGCGAAAGCCUGAUGCAGCCAUGCCGCGUGAAUGAAGAAGGCCUUCGGGUUGUAAAGUACUUUCAGCGGGGAGGCGGUACUCGAAGAAGAAGCACCGGCUAACUCCGUGCCAGCAGCCGCGGUAAUAC